rnacentral:rRNA from 11 species
ACGGGUGAGUAACACGUGGGAACGUGCCCUUUGGUUCGGAACAACUCGGGAAACUUGAUCUAAUACCGGAUAAGCCCUUCGGGGGAAAGAUUUAUCGCCAUUGGAGCGGCCCGCGUAGGAUUAGCUAGUUGGUGGGGUAAAGGCCCACCAAGGCUACGAUCCUUAGCUGGUCUGAGAGGAUGAUCAGCCACAUUGGGACUGAGACACGGCCCAAACUCCUACGGGAGGCAGCAGUGGGGAAUCUUGCGCAAUGGGCGAAAGCCUGACGCAGCCAUGCCGCGUGAAUGAUGAAGGUCUUAGGAUUGUAAAAUUCUUUCACCGGGGACGAUAAUGACGGUACCCGGAGAAGAAGCCCCGGCUAACUUCGUGCCAGCAGCCGCGGUAAUACGAAGGGGGCUAGCGUUGCUCGGAAUUACUGGGCGUAAAGGGAGCGUAGGCGGAUAGUUUAGUCAGAGGUGAAAGCCCAGGGCUCAACCUUGGAAUUGCCUUUGAUACUGGCUAUCUUGAGUACGGAAGAGGUAUGUGGAACUCCGAGUGUAGAGGUGAAAUUCGUAGA